rnacentral:rRNA from 1 species
UACGAGAGGCCCAAACGUUAUUCGGAUUUACUGGGCUUAAAGAGUCCGUAGGCGGCGCAGAAAGUGGGGUGUGAAAGCCCUCGGCUUAACCGAGGAAUUGCGCUCCAAACUACUGUGCUUGAGGAAUCUAGAGGUGAGCGGAACUGAUGGUGGAGCGGUGAAAUGCGUUGAUAUCAUCAGGAACACCGGAGGCGAAGGCGGCUCACUGGGGAUUUUCUGACGCUGAGGGACGAAAGCCAGGGGAGCGAACGGGG